CCGUCACACAAAGACAGGGUGAAUGUAGCCGCCGCGGCGCUCACGUUGUUGCGGACCGAGCAGGUGAUCAGCCCCGACAGGCCCGGCUCCAGAGUGAUGUCACUAGCGUUACUGGGUCCAGAGAGGAGACGUGUGGCAUUCAGCGGGAGUCCGUCUAGACUCCAGCUGUAGUGGGGUCCGUCCCCCUCUGCAGCGCAGGACACCCUCUGCUGUCCCCGGGACAGACACUCCCGGGACAGGAGGGGAGAGGAGACCGGGGCUAAGGGAAACCGUCGAGGAGGUGAGGCGUACAGUUUGUAAGCUUCAAGUGGAGGAUUACUUUUCCCAGACUACCUAGUGUUAACUGUACUUGACAAAUUGUAUACCGAAAAGGUAAGUGAAGUAGUAACGUACGUAUCUAAAAUGUUUUAAAUCAAAUUUGGUCAGUAUUAAUAAUUAAUGGGAGGAGGGACUGUUUAAAGAGUGUAUUCAAGAGGCCUUAAACGUUUACAAAGUACAGCAUAGCAUGUAAGGUUACCGAUAAUGUUAACAGUGCCUGAGAGCCAACAGUGAUUCUAAGAGCUACGAGGUCAGAGGUCAGGGUCUAAAAUGUAGAAUAAAAUUUAGACCUUGACCUCGGCUGUUUCCCUAUUAUCAUCAUUAAGGGUUCAUUAAGGUCAUUAAGGAUCAUUUAGAGUCUUAAUGACCUUAUUGAACCCUUAAUGAUGAUGAGAGGGAAACAGCCGCUCAAACCGGCGGUUUCCCUCUCAUCUGUAACCAUGGUUACCAAUAACUACUGCUACUGAUAAAUUUUUAUAUAUAUAUAUAUUUAUAUAUAGUUACAUAAUACUCACCUUCAAUGGAUAAAUAAAAAUAAUCUGUUUUAAAUCCAAGGCCAACUACAUCACCCAUUGAGUAUAAACCAUUGUCCGACCUGUGGAGGUCCUUCAUAGUUAAUAUUCUAGUACUGUAAUUCAUUGAAAAUCGAAGAGUCGUGUUUAUUAUCUCGUCGUCGAAAAGAUCAAUCAGAACAUUGUUUCGUAUCAAUUCAUAAAGAAUCCCACUUGAGGUCAUAUCCAGCUGGACCUCCAGGGUUCCUCCCAGGGAGCCGAAGCACGGGGUUCUUGAGGACUUUGUGGCGUCGCAGAAGCUCAACUUAACUGGGGGCCGCUGGAGGAGUCUGGGUCAGGCUGGGCCACAUCAAGUACUCCACAAAAAAAAGUAGCACAACUGACCCAAUCUAAGUUAAUGAUCUUGCUAUAAUUAGAUCAUCUAAACUUUGAUGUCAAGUGGGGGGCCACAAAAUAUCAUCCCGCGAGCCUCAAUUGAGAGUUUGAGACCCCUCAAAGGAAGAGCUACCAAACCAUAAGUGACCCAAUUAUAGAAAAUAUGUUACGAAUUAU
ensembl:lncRNA